rnacentral:rRNA from 1 species
UACGUAGGGUGCAAGCGUUAAUCGGAAUUACUGGGCGUAAAGCGUGCGCAGGCGGUUUUGUAAGUCUGUCGUGAAAUCCCCGGGCUCAACCUGGGAAUGGCGAUGGAGACUGCAAGGCUAGAAUCUGGCAGAGGGGGGUAGAAUUCCACGUGUAGCAGUGAAAUGCGUAGAUAUGUGGAGGAACACCGAUGGCGAAGGCAGCCCCCCGGGCUAAGAUUGACGCGUCAUGGCACGAAAGCCGUGGGGAGCAAACAGG